UUAGAAAGGUAGGAAUCGAACCUACAACUAGGAGAUCAAAACUCCUCGUAUUCCCAUUUUACUACUCUCUA
rnacentral:tRNA from 2 species